rnacentral:rRNA from 1 species
AUUCUAGABAGGAUUAYGAUANUGACAUUACCUAUCUAUAGGUCUUGACCAAAUUACGUGCCAGCAGUCGCGGUAAUACGUAAAAGACUAGUGUUAUUCAUCUUUHAUAGGUUUAAAGCGUACCUAGACGGUUAAUCAAGCCUAAAUAAGGUACUAAUUAAACUAGAGUUAUAUGUAAGGGUGCAUUAAGGUACUGUUGAGUUGUARAGAUGAAAUUCUGUCAUACCAGAUUAUUGGCACGGGUUUAGGCGAAAGCAUCACCUUAUGUAAUAACUGACGUUGACGGACGAAGGCUUUGUAUCGCGAACAGGAUUAGAUACCCCAGUAGUCUAAGCAGAAAAUGAUGAGUGUCAUAGGUUGAAUAUAAUUGAAUUCUAUAAMUUUAUAAAAUUUAAUUGAAGCUUUCGGUCUAUAAAUGAAAGUGUAAGCACUCCACCUCAAGAGUAAUUUGGCAACAUUGGAACUGAAAUCAUUAGACCGUAUUUGAAACCAGUAGUGAAGUAUGUUGUUUAAUUAGAUGCCACGCAAAAAACCUUACCACAAUUUGAAUAUUAAAUGUAAAAUUUAUUACAAGCGCUGCACGGSUGUUUUUAKUUAAUGUCGUGAGAUUAUGGUUCGUUCCAUUUAAUUGACGUAAAACCCUAACUUUAUUUUUAUAUHUADUUGUUCGCUGCUANAUUGGUUAUGAUAAAAGGGAUUAAGACAANUCAUCAUGGCNUAAAUAUUGUGGGGNUAUAGAC